rnacentral:lncRNA from 1 species
AGGAUUUUGAAAUUUUGAAUUUAAGUUCCCCUGAAUUUGGCAAUGUUAGCAGUGGAACAUGUAAAGUCUUAACCAUAUGUGUAGCUGGAGAAGAAGAGACCGGAGACCUCAAGGCUUCCUUAAAUUCGAAAAGGAAUAGUCUUGGGUUAAAUCCUUAUUAUGAGGAGAAGAUCUAUACAGCAGGCUCUUUUGAAAGCUUUUGCAAUCUUUUUUAUACAAGUUUGAAUUUCUUUUGCAAAUAUGUAAGACUCAACUAAAAAAAAUGUGUAUUGUUAUCUGAUUAAUGUCAUUAAUGUGAUUAAUGACACUGAAGGAUGUUAUUUGAUAGAUUUACAAUAUUUUGUUGAUUUGCGGAUUCAGUGGGCCAAAAAGUUGCUUCUUAAUAACUUAUUAUAUACAGAGUUUUCAACAAUGCUGUUCUUUCUCUUAUUUCGAUCAACUGUAUUCACAAAUUGUAAGUGAGUAAGUAAGUAAAUGAUUAACUAUAGUGCCAUGUGUAGUAUAAAUACUUUUGCUUAUUAUUAAUACAAGAAGAUUAUUUUGUA